rnacentral:lncRNA from 10 species
CGAGUGGAAACACUUACAUUAAUUGUAAUACAACAUCAGUUUCUCACUCUGUUGCCCAGGCUAGAGUACCAUGGUACAAUUUCAGCUCACUAUAGCCACCACCUCCCGCGUUCCAGUAAUUCUCCUGCCUCAGCCUCUAGAGCAGCUGAGAUUACAGUCGUGCACCACCAUGCCCAGGAAAUUGGGACACAGACACAAAGAGAAAACAAUGUCAUGUGAAGACAGAGGCAAAGAGUGGAGUGACAGAUGUACAAGCGAAGAACCUCAAGAGCGCCGGCAGUUACCAGAAGCUUAGAGUUAGGGAAGGAUCAUCAUCUGAAGCAAGUCCUGGCCUGUCAACAUGUUGAUUUCAGACUACUAGACUCCAGAAAAGUAAGAUAAAAAAUCUUUAAUAUUUGAAGGUGCCCAAUUUGUGGUAAUUUGUUCCUGCAGCCUGAGCAAACUAACAAGCUCACUUUCAGUUCAAUUUCAUGGAAGAAUAGAACAAUCUUUUGGUCCCAUAACACAACUCCUCAGUGGAGAACUCUGAGUGAUUUUAAAAAGACAUACCAAAUAUUGUCCCUUUUAUGCUCAAAAUGAUCCAGUAUUUCUAUGUCAUUCUUAAAAUAAAAACUAAUAUAAUGUCUACAGGCUUA